CAUGUGAAACUUAGAAAUAAAUAGAAAAUGAUAGAAAAUGAUAAAACUUCCAAAAGAAGAUAUAGGAUAAUAUCUUCAUUGCUUUGGGUUGGCAAAAAUUUCUUAAACAAAAAAGACAUUCACUUCAAAUAAAUAAAAGAAAAAUGAUAAAUCAAGCUAUGAUAAAAUUAAGGACUUCUGUCUUCAAAAAAUAUUCAGAAUGAAGAGGCAAGCCACAGAGUAGGAAAAGAUAUUUGCAAUCACAUCCAGAAUACCUAAAGAACCACUACCAAAAUAACAAACAAACAAACAAAAACCCAUGAAUAGUCUGAGAGAAAAUGGGCCAAAGACUUGAAAAGACACUUACACACACACACACACACCCAAAAAUGCACAAGUAUACUCAAUUUAAUUAUCAAGAAAAUAAGAAAUUACCGUGACAUGCCCCUACUCAUCCAUCAGAAUAGCUAACAUUCUUAAACAAUAGCAAAUGUUAGAGAGGCAUUGGGGCAAUCAGAACUCAUAUCCACUGCUGUGAGAAUAAGUGGAUACCAACAUGUUGAAAACUGGCAAUAUUUACUAAAGUUCAACAUACGUGUACCCUAUGAUGAAAUACAUCUACUCCCUGAUAUAUACCUAAUAAAUAUUUGUUCAUUUAUUUACCGAAGACCUAGAUAAGAAUGUGGAGCUUCCAAACAAUCUGCCUGUCAAUGCAGGAAAUGCCAGGAGAUGGGUUCUAUCCCUGGGUUGGGAAGAUCCCUUGGAGGAGGGCGUGGGAAAUCCCAUGGAUAGAGGAGCCUGGCAGGCUACAGUCCACGGGGUCACAAGAGAGUCAGACCUGACCUAGCAGACAACAACAACAACAACAACAACAACAGUGCAACAGAAUACCAUUCAGUGAUGAAAACAAGCACGAUGGCUGCACACAACAUCAUCGAUAAGCCUCACAUACUUGACAUUGAGCAAAAUGUCAGAUACAGAAGAGUGUACACUGGUCUCAUGCAUACAAAAUUCAAAAAAGAGGCAAAAUCCAUUGUUGGUGAUAGAAGUGAGAAUACUGGAGGGUCUAAGGGGCUGGUGAUCUGGAGGAGACAUGAGAGGGCUUCUUAGGUGCUGAGAAGGUUCUGCUUUUUGUUCUGCAUGCUGCUCAUAUGGAUGUGUUCACUAGGUGAAAACUCACUGAGCUCUGCACUUAGGGUUGGUAGAUUUUCUGUAUGUAAAUUUUACUUCAAUAAAAAGUUUACUGAACUCAGACCCAAACCCUUGUUUUCAGGAUAGGGCCUGAGAAGAAGGCUGUCAAUUAGCCAAGGAAAGGGGCCUCAGAAGAAGCCAACCUUGCUGACAUCUUGAUCUUGGACUUCUAGCCUGCAGAGUUGUACCAAACUCCAAACUAGGAAAGCAACCUACUCAGCCACCGAGACUGAUGGUCCUUCCUGUCCAAGCCCUUGUCUGAUAGUUCACAUGGUGCUGGAUACCUGACGGGAUCAGAGGAAUCGGUGAGUGCAUCUCCCCAGAAGAGCUCUUUGGCUCCUUUUUCACAGCAAAGAAAAAGUUCUACACACCCCAUUGCCCUUUUAAAGACAGUGGAUAUUGGAACGCCAAGGCUCAGAUACAACUGCGUGCUGAAUCUCAACGUUUCCAGGCAGUUGAAUCUGGACAAAGACAAAUAGUCUGGACUCACCUCAGUGCACUUCGGAUCUGAG